rnacentral:lncRNA from 1 species
CUCCAGCCUGGCAGAACAGGGGCCUCCUGCAAAGGUUCCUGGGGUGACCUCAUACCUCUGUUGACUUCUGAGCACAGGAGUUACGAGCUGCUGUACAAAUGCACACCACCAACGUGAAGUCCCCAAAAGCAGAGUCAAGAAGGGAUGUUCACCACCUUCCCUCAGGAGCUGGCAGGCUGCUUAUUUGGGAGAGGGCUGAGAAAGGACAGAAGGGGAUUACAAGGCUCCGAAGCACAUGUGUCACCCCUCAGUGUGGCCCCGGGUAGCCUGCUCUGAGAGGCAGGAGAUGAUUGCACCUGGCCUCCUCUCUGGACCAUGCUGGGGACCCUGCUGUCACCCCAACCUCUCCAGGUGACCCUGUGGAUCCCAGCCAGGGUGUCACACCUGGUGAGCUCCUUCCAGAUGCCUACGAGUCCCGGGCCACCCCCUCUUCACAGUUCUCUGCAGCACUGACCAGGAGACAGGACAUGUGGCAUCACCAG